rnacentral:tRNA from 1 species
AGUUAUUUAGUUUAUAAAAAACAUAUAUUUUGAAAAUAUAUAAAAAGUAAAUAUUACUUAAUAACUG